UCUUUUUCUUCUUCUUCUUCUUAUGCCUGCUGCUACUACACAUGUGCAUAUCUUUUUAUCUUUCUUCCUUCCUUUCUUCUUUUCAUUCUCGCCGGAACCUCUAUUUUGGCAACCAAAAUCACAUCCCCUAGUGAUUUGGAAUGCAAAUGUCCCACAAUUUGGAAUGCACGAAACAAGUUGCGAUUCCUGAGGGGUGAGCAAUCUGGUAACUAUAGACAAUACUUGUGAACAAAAUGGCGCACUUUGAAUUUGAACAUUGUUAAGACAUGCACCAUAAAUAGCUAAGAUAUGUGUAUCUGUAAUGAUUGUGUGAAUAUAUUUAGGUGUU
rnacentral:misc_RNA from 1 species